UACUGUAGAAACAUGGCGGUGCAACAUGGCGGACUCCAUGGAAGACUAAUCCCAAGCAAUCCCAUAUUCAAUUUCUGCUCCCUCUAAAACCCACUUGACCUUUAAAAGGAAGAAAAAAGGUAUUUGGUGAAAUAUCAGAAAUUUUCCUUUUUUUAACUCGGCUGGAGGUGUGUGUCUGCGUUUGAUUGACAGCAACUGGAAGGCUGCCAGGGUGACGGUAACACCGUAGGGAAGGAGAGACAAAGUAAAGACAUCAGCCCCUCAAGGUAUUAUUCGUGGUACUGCAUCGAACCGGACUAAAGUGACAUUUGAAGAUUCCAUGGAUGACUCGAGCAACCCCAUGAGGCAGACACAAUAUUGAGGACAUUACACCAAAGGGUGUCUGCAGUCUUCCAAGAGGCAGAGGCCGAUAAGACAUCUAUCCACCCAGGAAGCCAGCCCGACAGCGCAGACCUGUUUGCGGAGACUCAGGGUCGGCCCCCCCCCCACUCCAGUGCAGAAGGAGUUGGGGUCAGUGGAGCUGAUGACAGUAUUCGGUCAGAUCUGGAGCACCUGGGCGAAACCCCAUUGUUUUGGCGUUGUCUUUUGUUUUCAUAACUUGCUUCGCAGCUUAUGUCCUGGUUGUAAAUAAAUCACUCAUAUAUUUUGGCA